UACGAAGGGUGCAAGCGUUACUCGGAAUCACUGGGCGUAAAGCGUGCGUAGGCGGUUCGUUAAGUCUGCUGUGAAAGCCCUGGGCUCAACCUGGGAACUGCAGUGGAUACUGGCGAGCUAGAGUGUGAUAGAGGAUGGUGGAAUUCCCGGUGUAGCGGUGAAAUGCGUAGAGAUCGGGAGGAACACCAGUGGCGAAGGCGGCCAUCUGGAUCAAAACUGACGCUGAGGCACGAAAGCGUGGGGAGCAAACAGG
rnacentral:rRNA from 1 species